GAAGAAGAAGAAGAAGAAUCCACCAAACAAGAAAAGAAGGCAGCAGUAGGGAUAGUGAGGGUCUAGAAGAGCUGAAUGACCUUGAAAGAGCAAAGGGGUAGUAGUCACUCCUUUCCUACCAGGAAUUAUUUGAAAAUUGAUAGGAUUAAAGUUGCCAAUCAAACCCCAAGUUUCCAGAAGCUGGAAAAUCCACAGUUCAACUGUGUGCUGCCCAGAGAGCUUCACCAAACACCAAGGACACAGGUGAAUAUAAUGGAGUGGGAAGGAUUUCAUGCACGUGAGAGCCUAAGGAGGGCAGAUUUUCUUUGGCAGAAUCAGACAAAUAGACAUUAAGUCACAUGAUCACAAGAUAGCAGGACAUUAUGUGUUGAUCAAAGGAUGAAUACUCUGAAGAAUGUAUAAUACCCAUUAUAAACCUGUGCACACUGAAAAACAGGGAGUAGAGGGGGAACAGGUACAGAUAUGGAGUUUAGGGCAGAGUUUGCCCUUCCUCUGACACUCUGUGGGUACACGUGCCAUCACAUGUAUCAAAAGCCAUGAAUGGCUGGCUGGUGCUGAGACCUGUAAUCCCAGCUACUCAGAAGCCUGAGUCAGGGGGAUUGCAAGUUCAGGGCCCGCCUCAGUAGUUAGGAAAAUUCUGCCUCAAAGUUGGAAGAGUUGCUGCUCUAGGCCAUAGGUACAAUGCUCUGGGGUACAAUAACCAAUACCCCCCAAAAACACACAUAAACAGAAAACCAGAGAAGGAACAUCAUUGAGAGUGAACCCUGUUAUGAACUAUGGGUUUGGAUCAUGAUGAUAUGUCAGUCUAUGUUCUUCAGUUCCAAGAAGUGUUUCACUAUGCUGAGAUACUGAGAGAGGGAGGCUGUGCUUCUGGAUGAACAGAGGGAAGGGGGGAGGUGACAUUCAGUCCUUGUAUGAACCUAAAACUGGUCCAGAAAAUUAAUUUGCCAAAAAGAAAAGAAACGAAAAGAAAAACCACUAAACUAAACCCUAGAUUACAACUCUGCCUCUGUUCUGCCUUGAAAAUAUGCAGUGAACUUAAGCCUUUUUCAGCAAUGUCCCAUAUCAUAUGAUGCCAUAAGAGUGGUCAAAAUGUUUCAGAUUUCAGGUGUUUGGACUGGGGAUGCUGAACCUCUUAUAGCCUGAGAAGUCUCAGGUACAGCUCUUGGGACUCUGUGAAAUCCAUGAUCUCGGGUUUAAGCGAAGUGACAGCGGGUACUGUUUAGAGCCCAGUGGUGUACAUCUAAGGGGACAGGGGCUGGGAGGGCCCUGCUGGGGCUUCAGGAAGCUGCUGAUGCUGUUUCCUGAUUCAGGUGGGGAACCUGAGUGUGUCCACAGUGAAAAUUCAGAGAGCAGUAACAUUUCAGGACGUGCGUUGCAAUUCCUUAGAAGAGACAGAAAAAUAACCAGCUGGAGUGUGCUAAACCAGAUGGAGUGGAGAAGAUGAAGGAGAAGAGAAAUUUGAGGUUUCAUUCCUCAAGGGGAUCAUGAAGGGAGGAAGGCAGAGAGGGCUGGGGAGCUUCCAGGAGGCAUCUCCGACAUGCCAACAAGGAGUGACAAUGCCCGGGGACACCCAAGAGCUGUUGGAAGGAAUCACUCACUGAGGGACCGUGCUAAGCUGGAGGUAGUUGAACUGCACGUCCACAUGGCACUGUGACUGACGCAGCAGAAGGAGGAAGCAGACAUUGUGAAAAUUGUGGAAAAAAUAAGUUUAUUCAAAGGAAAAACCUCAUUCUGGUGUUAGGAGUCAUGUUUGAACCACAGAAAGCUACAGACAGUAAAUGGGAGCUAUUUCACGAGUGAUCAAAGCCCAAGAAUCGCAUAGUCCCGGGGGAGGAUCCUGAGCCACAGUGGUGGAAAAGCAGGCAAGGAUCCUCCUAACUAUCACCUUGUGACCACCACAGAAAACCUGAGUGAAACCCUGACUGCAAUAGGAGGAGGACUUCAGGUAGGGGAGGUGGAAGUGAAGGAAAGGGGUGUGGGGCAAGGAGCCUGCAAAGUCCGUGAUGACAGCACAUGAAAGGGUCUCGCUGCCUCUCAUGGAGAAUGACUGAGAGAAGAUAUACGUCAGCCCAGACAUGAGAGACUGCAUCCAUUAGGAAGCCCUCCAUCCCAAUGUGAGUGAGCGUCACUGUGGAGAGGUUUCUGCAGACGUCAGAGAUGCCCCAGGGCGGCUCACUGCAGGCUCAGAGUGAGUCAAUCUCUCAAGCCUCCCAGUUCUCCUCCCCAGCUCUAUUUGUAGAGCUCUCCUCAUUUCACAAAUAUGAUCCCUGCACCCUGAAGAGCCUGUGUAGUCCCCUGGGUUAUGAUGUCUCAUGCUCUGAGGACACUGGAGUACGUCCAAGCCCUACAGUUGUGCCUAGAAUUUAUAAGGUGAUCAAUCAGCAUUGGUGGGAUUCACAGCAGUUUCUUAGGCCAGCACACUCUAAUAGAAGUAGAAUACAAACUCUAAACCUAAUUUUGCAUUUUCUCAUAGAUGUAUUUUUAAAAGACUAAAUGGAAGCAUACAAAAUAGUUUGAAUAGUAGGUGUAUUAUGUAUAUACUUUUUUCAAAUAUAAAUUAAAGCAUGUAAACAAA
rnacentral:lncRNA from 1 species